GGGCGCGUCGUAUAAUGGUAGUACUACGGUCUCCAAAACCGUAUGCGUAGGUUCGAUUCCUACCGCGCCUGCCA
rnacentral:tRNA from 4 species